UUUGUUUUUCAGAGAAAACCGAGAGGAGACAAGGUGACAUUAAGAUCUAAGACAGGACGGAUUGAACCCUUUCUCAGAGACGAUGAGGAGAGUGAACGUCAGCAAGAAUGAACAAAGUGUCAGGAAAAGAGCCAAGCUGAGAAGAAACACCACACAGAAGAUUUUCCCUCAUUAAAAUGGAGAGGAGCAGUAACGACACUGGGAGACAAACAACAGGAUGAUCCAAAGACAACUGAGAGUGUUCAGAGCAGCGUGAACGGCAGUGACCUCAGAGCAAGACAGUCCUCGGGCCUUUGUGGUUCCCUCCAGACUGACCACCUGUCCAGGUUGUACCCCCACCUCUGGCCCCAUAACAGCUGGAAUGGCUCCAAUCUUGAAUUGGAUAAGCAGAAGAAAUGG